rnacentral:rRNA from 1 species
UGGGGAAUAUUGGACAAUGGGCGAAAGCCUGAUCCAGCCAUGCCGCGUGUGUGAAGAAGGUCUUCGGAUUGUAAAGCACUUUAAGUUGGGAGGAAGGGCAGUUACCUAAUACGUGAUUGUUUUGACGUUACCGACAGAAUAAGCACCGGCUAACUCUGUGCCAGCAGCCGCGGUAAUACAGAGGGUGCAAGCGUUAAUCGGAAUUACUGGGCGUAAAGCGCGCGUAGGUGGUUAGUUAAGUUGGAUGUGAAAUCCCCGGGCUCAACCUGGGAACUGCAUUCAAAACUGACUGACUAGAGUAUGGUAGAGGGUGGUGGAAUUUCCUGUGUAGCGGUGAAAUGCGUAGAUAUAGGAAGGAACACCAGUGGCGAAGGCGACCACCUGGACUGAUACUGACACUGAGGUGCGAAAGCGUGGGGAGCAAACAGGAUUAGAUACCCCGUAGUCCCUGAGCGGGCUGGCAAGGCGCAU